GCAAAUUGUUGCAUUCCAUCAGAGGCCUUAAUGAGGUUGCAAUACUUGGCCAAGCCAGCAACCGUCUAGGCCUUAGGUGUGGUGCUCUAUGAGAUGGUGCACGGGUUUCCACCCUUUCCUAAAGGUCUGCAACGAUUAGGCGUGGUUAGGAUUACGGGACGCAGUUAAACCAUGGAAUUUUUCAAUGUUGAAUACGAGUAUAAAACGAGUAAAGAUUAUUUUUUUGGGAGUGGUGCCUUUGGCAGGGUUUAUAGAGGAACCUAUAAAGCUGAUGGGAAAUUGGUCGACAUCAAGCGUAUAGAGCGAUGUGAGCACAAAACAGUUAUUUGUUAUCCUGGAUAUUCCACUUGUUACAGAGGUGGCACUCAUGUUGAAGUUAAAAGAAGCUCCUGAAUGCCCCUGAAUGUUAUAAGAAUGAUUGACUGGUAUAAGCGACCUGAUUACCUCACGCUUAUGUAGACAAAUGUCAAACCUUGCGUGAUUAUAUAAAAAACAAGUGUCAAACUGCCAGAAGAUCAAGCACGCAGCCUUAUGCUUCAGUUAGUAAAAACAGUUAAACAAUGCUUAAAGCACGGGGUGCUCACAGUAAUAUCCAUUUUAAAAACAUCAUGAUGGAUAAAACCGGUUUAGAACUGAAGUUAAUCGACUUUGGGAUUGGUCAUCUAUCAACAACGCUGCAUACAAAUCCAAAGGACAUAAAGGAGCACCUGAGAAAUACUCGGAGUUCAUACACAGGGUCAUGCCAAAAAAAAACGUCUUGGACGUUUUGGUUCUGUGCUAAAUAAGAUGCUGCACAGAAAAAAAAAACUUCUUUGGACCCCAAUUAUAAACCGCACUUUAACCACGAGUAAGUGAAAGACAAAAGAUUGUAUUUUAUACAUUUUACUCAUUUGGUAGACAUUUUUAUCUAAACCAACUUACAGUGUAUUCAAGGUUUAUAUUUUUCAUCAGUAUGUCUGCUCCUCUCCCACAACCUUUUGUGCUGUUAACACACCAACUGAGCUACAGGAACAAUAUCAAGAACAUAAUAGAUCAUUAAACAGACAGACAGAGAGAAAUAACAACAAUACAAGCAAAAAAUCUCAAUAUGCCAUGUCAAUAAAUGUCAUAAGUAUGUCGUGACUAACCAGCUCUUUUCUAAAACCUGAUGUCCGUGAUCUGCUUCAACAGUGCCUGAAGAAAAAUGCACAUCACCGAUUUACAAUCAAGCUGAUCUUGGCACAUGAGUGGUUUAAAAUGGAUGAGACCCGUCCAGUGGUGGCCAAGGCUACUUUAGGGAAACCGUAGUUCAUUAAAAUAAACAUUUUAAAAGUUCCUCACAUCUGAUUUACAGUCUGUUAAUGAAGGAAAAAUCUCAUGUUAACUGCAGUAACUUGCGUAAAAGUUGUUCAGGAAACUAAAAUCCAUGAUAAACCUUAAACUUUUUUCAAAUAUCAGAGCUCAACACAAAGGAUUUUGGGCAAAAAAAAUAAUUGCGUUAAAAGGAAAUAUGGAUUCAUCUUUGUUAGUCAUUCAGGAGCAGCGAGUCAUUUUCUCUUCUUUUGUUAUUUAAUACAUUUUAGAUUUCAACAGGUACUGUUUAUUAGUUGUAGUAUUUAUUUGUUUAUUAUUAUUUGUCUGUUUAAACCAAAAAGGUGCGAACAUGAACUCCGUUAGGGAAAAACCUCUGUGCUGCACACAAUACAUGUCACGUUUUCAAGUUUUAUGUGGCAGUCCAGUCCAACACAGUCAAUCAAAUCAUCAUACAGUAAAAAGAUCAUUAAAAACAAACAUGCCGUUGAGUUUUGUUGUAAAAACAGUGCAGACAGAUAAAGAAAGGCCAAUUUACAUGCCAGUAUAUAAGCAGACUUUAUUCAGUCCACAGAAAGACAAAUACUCUCCAGCCUCUGCCUGUGUUGAAAUCAUUAUGCAUUUGUAUUGUACUUUAAUAUUCUCUUAAUAUUUGUUUUUAACAAUGUGCUGCAAAAAAAAUAUAUUAAAUCAACAUAUACCAGUCAACAUUUGAAGUGGUUCAAAACCAUCAUAAAAGUUUAAUUAAAAUCAGUACCCAAUACCCAUUCUUGUCUCUGUAACUGUUGACUAUAUAUAUUUUAAGUUACUUAAAUAAAAAAAUGAAGUUAAACAAAUUCAACUUGUUUUUAUAAGUUAUGUCAACUUAUCGCAAGGAAAAACAUAAAAUAGUAGGUUGAAUUGACUUGAAGGAAAGUGUUUGAUGCUACUCAGUGGCGUAGCGUCUGGGCAUGCAGGGUAUGCACGUGCAAAUGGGCCCGGGCCAAUAGGGGGCCCAGCCCUGGGCCCACCCCAGCUUUUAAUUACAUUUUUUUUUUCAAUUUUAUUUUUAUUUGUGGCAGCAAUAAAUAUAUUUUUGUAUGCAUAUCAUGUGUAGUGAUUUCUUAUCUCUCCGUAAUGUCUAGUUUCUCCGUCAUUUCUUGUUUGCGUUUAUUAUUUUUUUUGCACUCAGCGGCUGCCAUAGACUACUACGCCAUCAUUUUUUUAAAUGACGCAUCGCCGCGCCAAAAAAAAAAGAAAACACAGUGUGAGAGGUUACUAUAGCAGCUAUCUACAUGAACAUUAAGGAUGGACGAAUAUAAACAUAAAAGUGGGGCCUCCAAGAGAAGAGAAGGCGAGAAGUUAGUCACGAGUCAAAAACUACCCAAAACAUUUUGUUUUUCUUUAUUUAAAUCUACCCUUUAAAGUAAAAAAGUAAAGUAAAAAUAUUUGACUACCUCAUUAAAAGUUUAUGUUGUUAACAGACCUGCGCGCCACAGUUAACAGUGCCAAAGGGAAAGGUUGGGGGGCUAUGGCUUAAGGGGGCCCGUAAUUUUUUUUGCAUAUGGGCCCGGGACUCACUUGCUAUGCCACUGAUGCUACUGAAAGCAUCUAUGUUAUCCUUGCAUGUAUUUUGUGUUUUAUGUUCUUCUAAAGUUUAUCUACAGGUUGACAAUGAGGGACUCUUUCCUUUCCAGCUAUUUAAAAUAAAGACAACUAUUAAAAUAAUUGUUUCAUCUAUUUAAUCCAUACACAAGUUGAUUCACACGUUGGGGGAGGGACAAUUUGAUAUCUCCAGUUCUUUGCAUGUUUUUGGCCUGUGGGAGGGAAACUGCUUUGAACCCCCGGUUUGAACCUUCAUGCUUUGAGGCAACAGUGCUACCCACUGAGCACUUUCUGUAUUUUAGGAAGUACAUCGUCCAAUAAUGGAAGGUAGUAAAAUAUUAAACUUGUUAAGUACGCCUGCAGAAAAUACUGAUACGAUCUCUUCCACCCUUCAUACACAGCCAAAAACACGUUACACUUCCUUCAAUAAUGGCAACAUUUCUUUAUGAAUUAAGACAAAAUAAUUACACAAAUUAUUAAAAUUUAUUUUUUAAAGAUUUGUUUGAUUAUGUACAAAAACAACAAACAACCAGCCUACAUAAAUUGUAAUAAUAUUUUUAACAGAUUAAUUAGAUGGACAUAUGUGAUGCUAUUUUCGUGUUCUUCAUGGAUGAAAACAUCCACUAAAUUAAACGGCUGUAAAAAUUUAUCAGAUUAAUAUUUUCUUACAUUUUUUUGCACAAUCUGAUAAUCAACCUCAGUAAUCAGUGCUGAGUGGCAAAACGUUCAACAAAAUGGCUGGUUUUCAUAGUGGCUGCUGUGAAAACGCCAGUAAAACUGAAUUUUGAAAAUUGAAUUUAGUUGGCCUUAACAGUGAUCCUAACAACUUGCCAAACAACCAGUAGUCUGUGUACAUUGGCAUAUGGACAGACAUUGCUUUUCCUGACAUAUAUGUUUGUCUUGUUAAACACUAUUAAACUAGAACACAAGGCUCAUCAUAAUGGAUGUUUUUUAUCGAAGGCUCCCUGACAA